GUGGGGAAUAUUGGACAAUGGGCGCAAGCCUGAUCCAGCCAUGCCGCGUGAGUGAUGAAGGCCUUAGGGUUGUAAAGCUCUUUCACCGAUGAAGAUAAUGACGGUAGUCGGAGAAGAAGCCCCGGCUAACUUCGUGCUAGCAGCCGCGGUAAUACGAAGGGGGCUAGCGUUGUUCGGAUUUACUGGGCGUAAAGCGCACGUAGGCGGUUUGUUAAGUCAGGGGUGAAAUCCCGGAGCUCAACUCCGGAACUGCCUUUGAUACUGGCAAGCUAGAGUCCGGAAGAGGUAAGUGGAACUCCUAGUGUAGAGGUGGAAUUCGUAGAUAUUAGGAAGAACACCAGUGGCGAAGGCGGCUUACUGGUCCGGAACUGACGCUGAGGUGCGAAAGCGUGGGGAGCAAACAGGAUUAGAUACCCCGGUAGUCC
rnacentral:rRNA from 1 species